ensembl:lncRNA
AUGCUCCCCUACGUGCUCUUCGGCAUUCGAGAGAUCCCUCAGGCCUCCACGGGCUUCACCCCGUUUGAAUUGCUCUUCGGCCGACAGCCCCACGGUCUGCUCGACGUUGCCCGAGAGGCCUGGGAACAACAGCCGGCGGUACACCGGACCACCAUCGAACACGUGCGUGAGAUGCGGGAGCGGAUCGACAAAGUAAUGCCCAUCAUCCGGGAACACCUCGUCAGGGCGCAGCAGGCGCAGCAACGGCAUUACAACCGGGCGGCCCAACCACGGGAGUUCCAGCGAGGAGACCACGUCCUGGUGCUGGUGCCCACGCCCGCUUGCAAGUUCUUGGCCACCUGGCAGGGUCCCUACACCGUUACGGAAAAGGUCGGCCCCGUUACGUACCGUGUAUGGCAGCCAGGUAGAAGGAGGGCGGAGCAACUGUACCAUAUUAAUCUGCUGAAGCGCUGGGUCGGGACCGGGCCCCAGCUCUCCGCCUACACCAGCUCGACUCCCGUGGUUGUCGAUAUGGACCCCCAACUCUCCGCCACCCAGAAGUCGGAGCUGCAGCACCUGGUCAGUCAGUUUCCGGUUGUGUUCUCCCCCCAGCCUGGGUGGACCCAUGUCUUGGAGCACGACGUCCACACACCACCAGGGACCAUCGUCCGGCAACGGCCCUACCGGGUCCCGGAGGCUCGGCGACACGCCAUCGAGGAGGAGGUACAGGAGAUGCUGAGGUUAGGGGUAAUUGAACCAUCACACAGCCCAUGGUCCAGCCCCAUCGUCAUGGUUCCAAAGCCCGACGGCACCCUCCGCUUCUGUAACGACUUCCGCCACCUGAACGAGGUCUCCGAGUUUGACUGUUACCCCAUGCCCCGUGUCGACGAGUUACUGGACCGAUUGGGAAGGGCCCGGUUCAUCUCCACUCUCGACCUUACAAAGGGCUACUGGCAGGUCCCCUUGACGGAUCAGGCGAAACCGAAAACGGCAGUACCGGGUCCUUCCCUUCGGCCUACACGGGGCCCCGGCCACCUUCCAACGGCUGAUGGACGUCCUCCUCCGGCCGCACCUACGCAACUACGCCGGGCUGGCCUGACCGCCAACCCCCGGAAGUGUCAUCUGGCCCUUGCCGAAGCCAAAUACUUGGGGUACCAGGUGUGCCGCGGCCUCAUCAGACCUCAAGAGAAGAAGGUGGCAGCUAUCCUCUCCGCGCCGCGGCCCACCUCAAAACACAGGUGCGGGCCUUUUUGGGGUUGGCGGGGUAUUACCGCUGCUUUAUCCCUAACUUCUCCUCCUUAG